GUGGGGAAUUUUGGACAAUGGGCGCAAGCCUGAUCCAGCAAUGCCGCGUGUGUGAAGAAGGCCUUCGGGUUGUAAAGCUCUUUAGUCCACGAAUAUAAUGACUGUAGUGGAAGAAUAAGCCCCGGCUAACUUCGUGCCAGCAGCCGCGGUAAUACGAAGGGGGCGAGCGUUAUUCGGAAUCACUGGGCGUAAAGCGUGCGUAGGCUGUUUUGUAAGUCAGAAGUGAAAGCCCAGGGCUUAACCCUGGAAUUGCUUUUGAAACUACAAGACUCGAAUUCGGGAGAGGAUAGCGGAAUUGUCAGUGUAGCAGUGAAAUGCGUAGAUAUUGACAGGAACACCAGUGGCGCAAGCGGCUAUCUGGACCGAUAUUGACGCUGAGGCACGAAAGCGUGGGGAGCAAACAGGAUUAGAUACCCCUGUAGUCC
rnacentral:rRNA from 1 species